GAUGAACGCUGGCGGCGUGCCUAAUACAUGCAAGUCGAGCGAACAGACGAGGAGCUUGCUCCUCUGACGUUAGCGGCGGACGGGUGAGUAACACGUGGAUAACCUACCUAUAAGACUGGGAUAACUUCGGGAAACCGGAGCUAAUACCGGAUAAUAUAUUGAACCGCAUGGUUCAAUAGUGAAAGACGGUUUUGCUGUCACUUAUAGAUGGAUCCGCGCCGCAUUAGCUAGUUGGUAAGGUAACGGCUUACCAAGGCAACGAUGCGUAGCCGACCUGAGAGGGUGAUCGGCCACAAUGGAACUGAGACACGGUCCAGACUCCUACGGGAGGCAGCAGUAGGGAAUCUUCCGCAAUGGGCGAAAGCCUGACGGAGCAACGCCGCGUGAGUGAUGAAGGUCUUCGGAUCGUAAAACGCUGUUAUUAGGGAAGAACAAAUGUGUAAGUAACUAUGCACGUCUUGACGGUACCUAAUCAGAAAGCCACGGCUAACUACGU
rnacentral:rRNA from 1 species